rfam:Salmo salar isolate Sally breed double haploid chromosome ssa15, whole genome shotgun sequence.
GCCCUGUAGCUCAGUUGGUAGAGCAUGGUGUUUGCAACGCCAGGGUUGUGGGUUCGAUUCCCACGGGGGGCC